GAAAAAAAAAAUCAGAAAAUUAAUUCAUAAAAGCAAAUUCCUAAAGAAAAAUUCUAAAAAAUCCUAGAAAAAUUCCUAAAAAUUCUCAAAAAUUUUCUAAUAAUAGUAUUUAGUGUUAGUUAUAGAAAUUCAAGGGGAAGAAGUCAAUUUUGUGGCUAGAUUUUCUACAACAAAAGAAAAGGAUUAAUAGUAAAAUUGUUAAAGGCAAUUUUACUCCACUCUUGUAUUGGACGCGGAUCACUUCUGAGCAUUAGAAUGCGUGCUUCGAGAUUUGGCAGAGUUCGAGACCGCACUACGGCACUUUUGUGAGCUCACGGGUCCAUUCAGAUAUGCUUUUAGUCCCAUUGGGUCUCGUUUGUACUUUUGCCGUGUUCUAAUGAAGAAAAAUAAGCACAUGAUGAUGGGCCCGGGCGGGUAUUUUCAUACCCGAGCGAUUUCAAUUGAGAAAUAGGAAUGUAAGCCUCCAAGCCCAGGACCCGGUCGGGUAUACUCUAAACCCGGUCGGGUCUGUCAAUAAUCACUUGCAUGAAUGCUCAGCUUACGGACCCGGUCCGGUCUUGCCUAAACCCGGUCGGGUCCUGCGAUUUCUGCUCUCUGAAAACUCCCAGCAUACGGACCCGGUCCUGCUUUAAUAACCGUUUUUCGCACGGUUUAUAUUUUAUCAUUAGGGAAUGUAAUAAAAAAGGAGAGACGUUGUUCCUUUUUCUUUUUCUCUGUUUUUUUGAGGGUUUGGUAUUUAAAGGGAUUUAUCAUAUUACUUGCCUUGAGGGAUUGUUAAUCAACGCUUCGACAUUGUAAUUUUAAUUAUAUUGAAGGUAUUAAUUUCAAUUCUAA